CAAGGUCACAUCCAGACCAAGUAUGAGUCUACUGUUGUGCUACACUUCAACCCCUUGAUCUUCUAAAAACUCUCUCCCCAGGCAUUGGAACACACAAGGCCUGCACUACUCAUGGUGUGGCUGCCAACGUGGCAUCAUCACCAUCGCCAUGGAGUUUGCUGGACAUGUGAAUCCUUGGAUCCAUCCUAAGUGUUCUAUAUGGGCAUCUACAUUUUAAAGAAAAUCCGAGGUAAUUCUGCGCGUCAAAGUUCGAGGAGCACAAUCCACGUCAUUGAUGAAGACAAACACAGAAAGCAGGAUGCGUUUGCCUUUCUAAGCACCCAGUCUGGCUGAGACAGCGCCAGCAUGAUGGGAAUAAAUCUUGGAAUCUGCUGCCACCUUGAGGUGAAGCUCCCACCUAGCCGAAUUUGCUCUUCUCCCUGUAAUAGAUGCAGAAAGAUGGGAUUGGCUGAGUCAGAUUCUCAACUUUUUCAGCCUUGUGCUUUAAGGGACCACUGCAAAAUUCCAAGAUGUAAUGGAAUAGCCCCUGGAGUGCAUGGUCUUUUCCUGUGGGUGUCCUUCGGGCCACAAAGCAUCCUCCAACCCCCACUGACAGAUCCACCAGAAGCAACAGACCAUUUGUCUUCCUAUAGGUUCUUUCCCCUUUGGAAUUCAGACGUGUGCAUCUUGCAGGAGCCCCUGGAGCCCGGGCCUCCCGCCCAGCCGAGGAGGAGGCGGCGCUCGCAGGGCGCAUUUUAAAGUUGCCAUUAUAUAUAUAUUUACCGAGUUGAGAAUUAAAUGAAUAUAAAGACAAAUACUAAGAAGUCCAGGAUUCCUUCACACGGCUCAUGAUACAGGAAAAACUUAUCCGGGUGAUCUGUGAAUGCUGGAGCUUUGAUCACAUUUCUGGGGAACGAGUUUAAACUGUGCUUUAAUCAAUAAUGAGCAUCAAAGGAUGGCUGUGAACUUGGGAGGAUUCUACACGGUUAAGGGAACCACACUCCCAGAAAGGGAACCACUGUGUCAAACCGGGGUCUCACUAUGUCCCAGACGGCCCUCCAUCUUGCAGCGAUCCUCCUGCCUCAGCCUCCCAAGUGCUGGGACUAAAGCAACUAUACAGCUGGAUGUUGUAGAAGCGGAGACAGAGGAGAUAACCCAAGGAAAUGCACUCCUCAGGGCCCGGAGAACCACCAAGCGAUUAUCUGUGACGUCUCUGCCGUCAGGGCUGCAAAAGGUAUCAUAUUCAUCAAAAAAGAGACCAUAUUUUCCGGUGCUUAAAAAAAAGAAACGUGGCAUGGAAAACAUCCUCCAAAAAUCAGAUCUGACAAUAGGAAAGCUUCAAAUGCAGGUGGACGACCUUAUCGAAACAGUGACUGAUAAAUCCAUGAAGCUGUUGGCUCAGAGACACGCCGAGCUUCAGCAGUGUGAGUUUCUAGGAGAUGAAAUUCUUCAGUCUUCUAAGCAGUUCCAGAGGAUGUCCAAGAGAACCACGAGGAAGUACAAACUGAAAAAUGUGUGCUUCCCCUGUACCUGCUGCUGCUGA
rnacentral:lncRNA from 1 species